rnacentral:rRNA from 1 species
AGAGUUUGAUCCUGGCUCAGAUUGAACGCUGGCGGCGUGCUUAACACAUGCAAGUCGAACGAGAAAGUCCUAGCUUGCUAGGGCGAGUAAAGUGGCGCACGGGUGAGUAACGCGUGAGUAAUCUACCCUUGAAUUUGGGAUAACAUCGCGAAAGUGGUGCUAAUACCGGAUAAUAUUAAUUUGACCUUGGUUGAGUUGAUCAAAGAUGGCCUCUUCUUGAAAGCUAUCGUUUGGGGAUGAGCCCAUGCACCAUUAGCUUGUUGGUAGGGUAAAGGCCUACCAAGGCGACGAUGGUUAGCUGGUCUGAGAGGAUGAUCAGCCACACUGGAACUGACACACGGUCCAGACUCCUACGGGAGGCAGCAGUGAGGAAUUUUGCGCAAUGGGGGAAACCCUGACGCAGCAACGCCGCGUGAGUGAUGAAGGCUUUUGGGUCGUAAAGCUCUGUCAGUGGGGAAGAAGUUAUUUAUGGUUAAUAUCCAUAGGUAUUGACGGUACCCGCAAAGGAAGCACCGGCUAACUCCGUGCCAGCAGCCGCGGUAAUACGGGGGGUGCAAGCGUUAUUCGGAAUUAUUGGGCGUAAAGCGAGUGUAGGCGGUAUUGUAAGUCAGAUGUGAAAGCCCGGGGCUCAACCCCGGAAGUGCAUUUGAAACUGCAAUACUUGAGUAUGGGAGAGGAAAGUGGAAUUCCAGGUGUAGAGGUGAAAUUCGUAGAUAUCUGGAGGAACACCAGUGGCGAAGGCGACUUUCUGGACCAAUACUGACGCUCAGACUCGAAGGCGUGGGGAGCGAACAGGAUUAGAUACCCUGGUAGUCCACGCAGUAAACGUUGACAACUAGGUGUCGCGGGUAUUGACCCCUGCGGUGCCGGAGCUAACGCAUUAAGUUGUCCGCCUGGGGAGUACGAUCGCAAGAUUAAAACUCAAAGGAAUUGUCUGGGGCCCGCACAAGCGGUGGAGCAUGUGGUUUAAUUCGACGCAACGCGAAGAACCUUACCUGGAUUUGACAUCCUGGGAAUAUUUUCGAAAGAUUUUAGUGCCCUUCGGGGAACCCAGUGACAGGUGCUGCAUGGCUGUCGUCAGCUCGUGUCGUGAGAUGUUCGGUUAAGUCCGGCAACGAGCGCAACCCCUAUCUUUAGUUACCAUCAUUUAGUUGGGAACUCUAGAGAUACUGCCCCACCUUAAACCGGAGGAAGGUGGGGAUGACGUCAAGUCCUCAUGGCCCUUAUGACCAGGGCUACACACGUGCUACAAUGGGCGGUACAAAGGGUAGCGAACUCGCGAGAGUAAGCCAAUCCCUUAAAGCAUAUCUCAGUUCGGAUUGGAGUCUGCAACUCGACUCCAUGAAGUCGGAAUCGCUAGUAAUCGUGGAUCAGCAUGCCACGGUGAAUACGUUCCCGGGCCUUGUACACACCG